ACAGUGCUUUCACAACUCUACCACGUUGUUACUGUAAGCACAUCACUGCACAUUGUAAAGCACCGUGACAUUGAUCAUUGUUAAACUCCAAUCGAGAAGGCAGAAGACUGUGCAGGUAAAGAAAAUGAGAAGAGAAGUUUAGUAACUUUCUCAGGAUUACUCACCUGGAAAGAUCUUUGGAAUCUAUAACUUAUACCAUGAUCCAGCUUUAAGGAAUAUUUGAGAGAUGAGAAAACUGAGACAAAGGAACUUGCCCAGGAUCACACAGCAAGUAUCUGAGGCCUGAUUUAAACUUGGGAAGAGGCCCUAUGCUGCCCCUAAUAUGCCUUCAUUUUACCGAUAAGGAAACAUCAGCCCAGAAGAUUCAGUGAUUUGCCAAAGAUCAUCCAUUUUUGAGGUGUCAGAAGUGGAAAAAUCACUGAGACUAUUUAAAAUCCACUUUCUCAAGCAAAAUAAAAUGACUUCCGACUUAUCCAAAAUGCUGAAAUAUCCAUGCUGUUUAUCUCUGGAUAAUCAAAUAUUAAUAUGUGAUACUCACCAUUUUCACAAUAAAUUGAAUAAAAACAAGCACUAGGAAAAAAAUGCUAAAUUACUAUUUCUCUUCACACCUAUCAAAGUUAUAUUGCUUAGAGACUCAACAGGGUUAAUUUCAAUAUGAAAUGAAAGACUUUUGACACGUAAAACUUCUGGAAUACAAACACAAAUUCACUUGCUAAUUACAACCAAGUUUUCCCAAACUUUAUAUGCUAAUCUAAUACCUUUAAUCAAUAUACUUUUAAGAAUGAAAACAUACUGAGGGCUAAUUAGGGGACUGUUAACCAUACUGCCAGUUCUAAUCACAUUUGGACUUAAGUCUCCUACUUUUUUGGUGAUUAGUUUUUCUUAAUGAAUAAUACUUGAGUUCUCCUUUACAAUUCCAGAGCAUGAAAGUCAAGUCAACAUUUUCUUAUAUUUAUAGUCAAUUGAGGAACAUCUCUUCAGCUACAAAGUAAUUAUCUCUCACAGAACUAUAAACAGAAUUUUAAUUAGCAGAAUUUCCUAGUGAUUUUUCUUGCUUCCUAUAGCACAGCAGCUUGGUUUUAAGUUUCCAUCUAUGUGGUAAUUCAACUUUCCACAAUUUUAAAAUACUUUAAUUAAAAAACAUAAUAAAUUCUUGCAGUGUACAGGGAAAAAGGAGUUGGAAAGUCAGGAGGAAUCACCAAAUGAAACAAGAACAGAAGGUCAACUCUUGAAAAUAUCUGAAUCUAAAUUAUCAUUAAAGGAAUUAGGUAAUAGGGAUGAAGAAAAGACCUGAAGUUUGUGUUCAUCAAGUUUAUAAGAGAGUUGGAGUCUGACUGAACACUGAAGAGAUAUGAAUGGAAACACAAUAGAAAUAAAAAAAGUAGAUAAAAAAGUAAAAAGUUCAACAAAAAAGACAGAUAGCUCCUUACAGUGUAGUUUAUUGCUCCGGCUGUUGAGUGGUUCUGGUCCAUUCACAUCUUUGCUUUUUUCAUUAU